AUUUCCCUCAUUCUGCAAUGAGAAGCAUUGCAGAUGCAAUAGGUGGCAGAGAGGAGAGAGGAUCUGUCUAUACUCAGUGUUCUGACCUAUGAACAUCAGAAUGACAAGUAGCCUAACAUU
ensembl:snoRNA